rnacentral:rRNA from 1 species
UACGUAGGGACCAAGCGUUGUUCGGAUUUACUGGGCGUAAAGGGCGCGUAGGCGGCUUAACAAGUCACUUGUGAAAUCCCCGGGCUCAACCUGGGAACUGCAUCUGAUACUGGAUGGCUUGAGAUUGGGAGAGGGAUGCGGAAUUCCAGGUGUAGCGGUGAAAUGCGUAGAUAUCUGGAGGAACACCGGUGGCGAAGGCGGCAUCCUGGACCAACACUGACGCUGAGGAGCGAAAGCCAGGGGAGCAAACGGG